GGAUGUAUAGCUCACUCGUAGAGCAUUCGACUGCAGAUCGAGAGGUCCGUGGUUCAACUCUGCGUGCCUCCU
rnacentral:tRNA from 1 species